rnacentral:lncRNA from 1 species
UAUUGACAAUUGCCACGGAAGCCAUUGACUUCAAAGCUGAGUUUUUUAGAUGAAUAUCAGGGGAGAGUCUUCAUUCUUCUGUUAUUUGGAAACCACAGUCCCAGAAUAAAAGGAAGGCAUCGAUCUGAUUCUCUCAUAACACAAACAUAAAGAGGCCAGAUGAGAUGGCAUGGCCACCCCAGGGCAGUUUUAAAUUAAACCGCCAAUGUACUCAUCAGCCUUCAGAGGCGCAUUUUCCCUGGUUUGUUCAGUCUGUGCAGUUUGUUCACCAGACCGGGGAAUGCUUAGUUAGUAUUCAAUUCCAGCCCAUUAAAGUUCUUCAGGCCACACAGGAGGGGCUUGGUAAGCAGCAGCCAGUUAGCCAUGGAUGAGGAGGGCUUUAAUGAGGGAGAAAUGUUCAGGGCAGGUGUAAUUUCCACUCAUUUCUGAGUAAGUGUAGAGGCAACCUCAGUGGUCAGGUGUGAUUCAUCAGAAGGAAAAGCAUUCCCUACGAGAGUCAACCUACAUUUUAAGCUGAGAGUGGGCUUUUUCUUUUUUGCUUUCCUCUUUUAAAAAAAAUGAAUUCUUUUUUAAAUUGUGGCUCUCCUGUUGAAAUCAGUGGGAAUGAACGCUGAUGCCAUCUUAUGCAGUGCUCUCAACACGUGGACCAGCUCUCAGAACACCUGUUAUUUGCACAGUGAUGAUUAGGCUUUGGUAUUUAAUGAGCCAUUUGUCUUUAUAAUUUAAAAUCCCUGGCUUCCAUGUAGAUUUGUUUUUGACACAGUACAUUUAUAAAACCUAAAUGUGGCGGCUGUACAUGCUGUGCAUCAGAGGUUGGGUCAAAUGCUGGAUACAGCUGUCCACUGAGUGUAAAUUCUCUCUCUCCUGUUCCAUAUCAACUGUACAUAAUUUUUCAGGUUGUCCUUUUACCAUGUUCAAAGUCAUCAUCUUGAACAGUCAUGAUGUUUGCGGUUGACAAGUUUUAAUUUUUGUCCUUCAAUUAUAGAGAGUGAUAGUGAUACAAAAGAAAGAAUAAAGAAGAUAUUUUUUGCAUCCUCCUUUGCUUUGCAUGGAGUUUGCUUGUCUGCAUUUGUGUUAAUUAUUUCUAAAGCUGAAAAUCAAGGUAAAUGCACAUAUGUGUGCAUUUGCGCGCACACACACACACACACAUUUUUAGGUACUGAAAGUAUAAAACGCCUAAAAUGUGCUGUGUUUUAAACCCUUUUAUGCCGGCAGGGGGGUGGGGUGGGGGUGGUGCAAAAGACCGUCUAAAGGUUGAGAAGCUCUUGUACUAAACAACAAACAGAAGCCACUGAGCCAAAUUCUCCUAGUACACAGGCUAUAAGCUACAGUGUCUCUUUUCUGACAAAUUGGCUAUGGGUAAGAGAAGUAAAUCUCAUAAGACCCUAAACAUUGGUUUAUAUGAGCCUUUAUAUCCUCUGAGCUGAGGACACAACCAUUUGCAACCACAAGAAUGGUGGGGGCACCCUGUGAGUCCAUGUACUGCUAAUCUAAGACUCUUAUUUAUAGAACUAGAGGCUUUGCUUUCUCCAAUUCUACCUAAUUCAGUAACCCAGCUUACCUGAAUUACCCUUGAGGCAGUGGUUCCCAACUGGGAGCAGUUUUGUUCCCCAGAGGGUAUUUGGCAAUAUCCCGAGAUAUUUUUAUUUGUCACAAGAGGUGAGAGGGUGCUACUGGCAUCUUGUGGGUAAAGGUGUUAGACCCUACCAAACAACCUAUAGUGCACAGGACAGCCUCUGACGACCAAGAAUCCUCCUGCUAAAAUGUCAGUGGCAGCAGUGAGAUGAAUGCACACAUGCUAACUGCAGUCCCAGAAACUAGUACAUGUACGACAAUGGCAUGUUUUUGUUUUUGUUUUUGUUUGGCCACCCCUGUGGCCUAUGGAAGUUUUGGGCCAGAAAUAGAACCUGUGCCUCAGCAGCAAUCCGAGCUGCUGGAGAGAUAAUGCUGGCUCCUUAACCUGCUGAGCCAUAGUGGGAACUCCCUGGAAUGGCAUGUUUUUAAUUUGCAGUGAUAGCUAGACCUGUCAGGAAGACCAAGAUAAUGAUAUCUACUAAUGGAAGUAUUUCCUCCCUUUAGAAAAGCUACAAGGGAAACCAAAUUAGAAUCAGGAAUUUAUUUGCUAAGCAAAGCAUCAGUUCUAAAGGAGAUAGAUUAUCUUUAUAGAAUGCAUCACAAGUCAGGCUCUCCCUGGGUUUAUGUUUGUUUAUCCUCAUAGAGAACUUCCUAUUAUAUCCUAAAGCUUCAGCAUUGUGCAAAGAAACAGGAGUAGAAAAUUGUAAUGUAAAGUGAUGAGCAUUUUAGCAGAAACCAAGUACAGGAUGGUAAGGGAACACCUAAGAGGGACUCAUGGGUCCAACUUGAAAUUUCAUGGGAAUUUUCCUGGAUAAAAUUAGUAAAUUAUCCCAAGCACUAUUGCAACUGACUAUAUCCAGUUUCUUGGGAUAGACAUAGAUCAUGAUGGAAGCAUGGAAGAUAACAUAAGAAAGGGAAUGUUGACGUUCCCAUCGUGGCUCAGGGGUUAACAAGCCCGACUAGUAUCCAUGAGGAUGUAGGUUCGAUCUCUGGCCCUGCUCAGUGGGUUAAAGAUCGGGCGUUGCUGUGAGCUGAGGUGUAGAUCACAGACACGGCUCGGAUCCCAUGUUGCUAUAACUGUGGCUGUGGCCAGCAGCUAUAGUUCUGAUUUGACCCUUAGCCUGGGGACCUCCAUAUGCUGCAGGUGUGGCCCUAAAAAGACAAAAGAAAAAAAGGGAGUGUGUGUGUGCCUGUGUAUAUAUAUAUAUAUAUAUAUAUAUAUAUAUGAAACUGGGUCUUGGGUCACUUUGCUAUACAGCAGAAAUUGGCACAACAUUGUAAAUCAACUACACUAUAAUAAAAAAUAAUAAAAAAGGAGAGAUGGGAGGACAGAGCAGAAAAAGAAAAAAGAAAAUACCAUUUGGUUAUCUUAGCCUCUGCCAGCAUCAAGCUAUGACCACAUGAGAGCAAUAGAGGAGCAAAGGGCACUCUGUGUGAUUGUCCACCAAUCAGGACACUCUGUCUCCCACUGAGUUCUUCAGGCUCUUCCAAAAGUUGAUGUGACUGUAGCUCAAGAUGGGCUCAUGCAGUUCUCCCCGUGAGAUUACUUAAAGUUACUAACUCAAGAUAGAUACGAUAUCCUUCCAUGAGGUAUUCCUUGCAGAUGCCUGAUGUAAUUAAUUCCAGUACUUCUUUCCUGAUUUUUCUGAACAAGUGUGCAUUUGAAAUCCUGGAUGUCUUAAUCUUUCUAUGCUUUUCUUCUGGAAUUUGAGUUAAUUCCCUCUAUAUGACAUCAGUGUGAAGGUCACAUUAGGUUAGAAUUUUUUUUUAAUUAAGUAAAAAUUUAAAAUAGUCUAUAGAAAUAGAGUUUACCUUAUGUUUAGUCCCUUUUAAUCCCACUGAAUGAAAGGAAAAAAAAAAAAAAGGACUGCGGCAUCUGUCUUAAUUCCUUUAGGCAUACUUUAUGUUUUCUACCAUGUGCCAAUCACUGUGCUAGUUCCUUAGAAUGAACAACAUGUGAGAGCAUCUUCAUUUAUACAUAAAUUAUAAUUUGGUGUGUUUUGAAGGUAUCAUUUUGCCUGACAGUGUAAGCAAAAAGCAGAAAAUAGUGAUUGAUUAACCUUAUUUUGUGGUGAUGCAGAAAUCUAAUAAACUCAGAAUGUGGAGUAAAAUGAAGAUAAGAAAAUUGAAGUAAUCAAUAUUUCUGGUUGGUGCUUGCUUUCAUUACAGGGCUAAAAAUAAUCAUCGAAAUAAGAAGAGAUAGAUGAAUGAAUGCCAUCUUGCUCUUGCCCAGAAUUAAGAUAGGUUUAGAACAUUAUGUCAGGGAUGGGAAGAGCACGAAGCGGUAGCCUUAACACAGGUGAUGAUUAAAGGUAAAUCAUUUUAAAUAACUUCAAAACCUGGAUCCUCAAAGGUUCUGACUGGGCACACCAGAAAAGGAAUAGUUUCUUCACACAUCUCAAACACAAUAAUUUUCUCAACCUUCUAAAGAAUAUUGUGAAAUGGAUGGGAAGCUCAUGAAAAACUCCUGCUGUCAUUGUAUUUUGAAAGUUGUAGUAAAUCACUCUUUGCACUUCUUCUAAAUAAUGAGAACUCAUUUUCAUUGUUCCUAAAAUCUACGAUCAAAAUUGCUACCAUAUAAAUUACAAUACUAUACUGCAACAUUAAAGAAUGGCAUCUGUUACAGCAAAGUUAGACUUUAGAUUUUGAAGAGACCGUGUAAAAGAAUAUAAACGUAAAGAAGCUAAUUAGGGGAAAAUCAUUUGUCUUUGUCAUAAAACAUUUUGUUCUUUUCUUUGUUUUUUAAAAAAUAGAGUACAGGAGUUUCUGUUGUGGUGUAGCGGAAACGAAUCCUACUAGGAACCAUUAGGUUGCAAGUUUGAUCCCUGGCCUUGCUCAGUGGGUCAAGGAUCCGGUGUUGCCGUGAGCUGUGGUGUAGGUCUCAGACCCGGCUAGGAUCUGGUGUUGCUGUUGCCUGUGGCUACAGCUCCAGUUGGACCCCUGGCCUGGGAGCCAUAUGCCGUGGGUGCAGCCCUGAAAA